UACACGACUCUCGGCAACGGAUAUCUAGGCUCUCGCAUCGAUGAAGAACGUAGCAAACUGCGAUACUUGGUGUGAAUUGCAGAAUCCCGUGAACCAUCGAGUCUUUGAACGCAAGUUGCGCCCGAAGCCAUUAGGCCUAGGGCACGUCUGCCUGGGCGUCACGCAUCGCGU
rnacentral:rRNA from 1 species